AUUGAACGCUGGCGGCAGGCCUAACACAUGCAAGUCGAACGAGUGGCGGACGGGUGAGUAAUGUCUGGGAAACUGCCCGAUGGAGGGGGAUAACUACUGGAAACGGUAGCUAAUACCGCAUACCAUCGGAUGUGCCCAGAUGGGAUUAGCUAGUAGGUGGGGUAACGGCUCACCUAGGCGACGAUCCCUAGCUGGAAUGAGAGUAUGACCAGCCAAAAUGGAACUAAGACACGGUCCAGACACCUACGGGAGGCAGCAGUGGGGAAUAUUGUACAAUGGGCGAAAGCCUGAUGCAGCCAUGCCGCAUGUAUGAAGAAGGCCUUCGGGUUGUAAAGGACUUGCAGCGAGGAGGCGUUACUCGCAGAAGAAGCACCGGAUAACUCCGUGCCAGCAGCCGCGAUAAUAC
rnacentral:rRNA from 1 species